AGGUUUCAAAAUCUCCCAUUUGUGAAUUGUGACUUGUGAGCCUAUAAUAUUCAAAUUUCAAACAACACUCUUCGUCCCGUACAAAUCUCCUUUCCGACUAGUAAUUUUGACUUGUAACAUCAGAAAAUUUUCAAGAGAUAAAUCUAUUAUAACCUAUAGAAAACUUUUUA
rnacentral:sRNA from 1 species